GUCCACGCCCUAAACGUUGGGCACUAGGUGUGGGAGGUAUUGACCCCUUCCGUGCCGUAGCUAACGCGAUAAGUGCCCCGCCUGGGGAGUACGGCCGCAAGGCUAAAACUCAAAGGAAUUGACGGGGGCCCGCACAAGCAGCGGAGCGUGUGGUUUAAUUCGAUGCAACGCGAAGAACCUUACCAGGGCUUGACAUGCUGGUAGUACCGAACCGAAAGGCGAGGGACCCUUCGGGGAGCCAGCACAGGUGUUGCAUGGCUGUCGU
rnacentral:rRNA from 1 species